rnacentral:rRNA from 1 species
GGGGGGAUCCGGUGAUCCUAUGCUGCCUAGAAAAGCAUCGGCGCGAGGUUCAAGCCGCCCGUACCCCAAACCGACACAGGUGAUCAGGUAGAGAAUACCAAGGCGAUCGAGAGAAUUAUGGUUAAGGAACUCGGCAAAAUGCCCCCGUAACUUCGGGAGAAGGGGGGCCCCAACCUUGAACACCACUUGCUGGUGGGAGGGGAUCGGGGCCGCAGAGACCAGGGGGAAGCGACUGUUUACUAAAAACACAGGUCCGUGCGAAGUCGCAAGACGAUGUAUACGGACUGACUCCUGCCCGGUGCUGGAAGGUUAAGAGGACCGGUUAGCCGCAAGGCGAAGCUGAGAAUUUAAGCCCCAGUAAACGGCGGUGGUAACUAUAACCAUCCUAAGGUAGCGAAAUUCCUUGUCGGGUAAGUUCCGACCUGCACGAAUGGAGUAACGACUUCCCCGCUGUCUCAACCAUAAACUCGGCGAAAUUGCAGUACGAGUAAAGAUGCUCGUUACGCGCAGCAGGACGGAAAGACCCCGAGACCUUUACUAUAGUUUGGUAUUGGUGUUCGGAGUGGCUUGUGUAGGAUAGGUGGGAGACGUUGAAGCCCUCACGCCAGUGGGGGUGGAGUCAUCGUUGAAAUACCACUCUGGUCACUUUGGACAUCUAACUUCGGCCCGUGAUCCGGGUCAGGGACAGUGCCUGAUGGGUAGUUUAACUGGGGCGGUUGCCUCCUAAAAAGUAACGGAGGCGCCCAAAGGUUCCCUCAGCCUGGUUGGCAAUCAGGUGUCGAGUGUAAGUGCACAAGGGAGCUUGACUGUGAGAGAGACAUCUCAAGCAGGGACGAAAGUCGGGACUAGUGAUCCGGCGGUACAUUGUGGAAUGGCCGUCGCUCAACGGAUAAAAGGUACCUCGGGGAUAACAGGCUGAUCUUGCCCAAGAGUCCAUAUCGACGGCAUGGUUUGGCACCUCGAUGUCGGCUCGUCGCAUCCUGGGGCUGGAGUAGGUCCCAAGGGUUGGGCUGUUCGCCCAUUAAAGCGGUACGCGAGCUGGGUUUAGAACGUCGUGAGACAGUUCGGUCCCUAUCCGCUGCGCGCGCAGGAAAUUUGAGAAGGGCUGUCCUUAGUACGAGAGGACCGGGACGGACGAACCUCUGGUGUGUCAGUUGUACUGCCAAGUGCACCGCUGAUUAGCUACGUUCGGAUGGGAUAACCGCUGAAAGCAUCUAAGCGGGAAGCUCGCUUCAAGAUGAGAUUUCCAUACACCUCGUGUGUGAGAGGCCCCCAGCCAGACCACUGGGUUGAUAGGCCGGAUGUGGAAGACAGGACUAAAGACUGUUGAAGCUGACCGGUACUAAUAGGCCGACAACUUACACCAC